rnacentral:rRNA from 1 species
CGGUGACAAACCGGAGGAAGGUGGGGAUGACGUCAGGUCAUCAUGGCCCUUACGGCCAGGGCUACACACGUGCUACAAUGGUGCGCACAGAGGGCUGCAAACCCGCGAGGGGGAGCUAAUCUCACAAAACGCAUCGUAGUCCGGAUCGGAGUCUGCAACUCGACUCCGUGAAGUCGGAAUCGCUAGUAAUCGUGAAUCAGAAUGUCACGGUGAAUACGUUCCCGGGCCUUGUACACACCGCCCGUCACACCAUGGGAGUUGGAUCUACCCGAAGAUUGU